rnacentral:rRNA from 1 species
AUGAACGCUAGCGACAGGCUUAACACAUGCAAGUCGAGGGGCAGCACAGGUAGCAAUACCGGGUGGCGACCGGCGCACGGGUGAGUAACGCGUAUGCAACUUGCCUAUCAGAGGGGGAUAACCCGGCGAAAGUCGGACUAAUACCGCAUGAAGCAGGGGCCCCGCAUGGGGAUAUUUGCUAAAGAUUCAUCGCUGAUAGAUAGGCAUGCGUUCCAUUAGGCAGUUGGCGGGGUAACGGCCCACCAAACCGACGAUGGAUAGGGGUUCUGAGAGGAAGGUCCCCCACAUUGGUACUGAGACACGGACCAAACUCCUACGGGAGGCAGCAGUGAGGAAUAUUGGUCAAUGGGCGUAAGCCUGAACCAGCCAAGUCGCGUGAGGGAUGAAGGUUCUAUGGAUCGUAAACCUCUUUUAUAAGGGAAUAAAGUGCGGGACGUGUCCCGUUUUGUAUGUACCUUAUGAAUAAGGAUCGGCUAACUCCGUGCCAGCAGCCGCGGUAAUACGGAGGAUCCGAGCGUUAUCCGGAUUUAUUGGGUUUAAAGGGUGCGUAGGCGGCCUUUUAAGUCAGCGGUGAAAGUCUGUGGCUCAACCAUAGAAUUGCCGUUGAAACUGGGAGGCUUGAGUAUGUUUGAGGCAGGCGGAAUGCGUGGUGUAGCGGUGAAAUGCUUAGAUAUCACGCAGAACCCCGAUUGCGAAGGCAGCCUGCCAAGCCAUUACUGACGCUGAUGCACGAAAGCGUGGGGAUCAAACAGGAUUAGAUACCCUGGUAGUCCACGCAGUAAACGAUGAUCACUAGCUGUUUGCGAUACACUGUAAGCGGCACAGCGAAAGCGUUAAGUGAUCCACCUGGGGAGUACGCCGGCAACGGUGAAACUCAAAGGAAUUGACGGGGGCCCGCACAAGCGGUGGAGCAUGUGGUUUAAUUCGAAGCAACGCGAAGAACCUUACCAAGUCUUGACAUCCCUCUGACCGGAACUUAACCGUUCCUUCCCUUCGGGGCAGAGGAGACAGGUGGUGCAUGGUUGUCGUCAGCUCGUGCCGUGAGGUGUCGGCUUAAGUGCCAUAACGAGCGCAACCCUUGCCACUAGUUACUAACAGGUAAAGCUGAGGACUCUGGUGGGACUGCCAGCGUAAGCUGCGAGGAAGGCGGGGAUGACGUCAAAUCAGCACGGCCCUUACAUCCGGGGCGACACACGUGUUACAAUGGCGUGGACAAAGGGAGGCCACCUGGCGACAGGGAGCGAAUCCCCAAACCACGUCUCAGUUCGGAUCGGAGUCUGCAACCCGACUCCGUGAAGCUGGAUUCGCUAGUAAUCGCGCAUCAGCCAUGGCGCGGUGAAUACGUUCCCGGGCCUUGUACACACCGCCCGUCAAGCCAUGGGAGCCGGGGGUACCUGAAGUCCGUAACCGAAAGGAUCGGCCUAGGGUAAAACUGGUGACUGGGGCU